rnacentral:rRNA from 1 species
UACAGAGGGUGCAAGCGUUAAUCGGAAUUAUUGGGCGUAAAGGGCUUGUAGGUGGUUGUUUAAGUUAGAUGUGAAAACCCUGGGCUUAACCUGGGACGUGCAUUUAAUACUGGACAGCUAGAGUAUGGUAGAGGAGAGGGGAAUUCCUGGUGUAGCAGUGAAAUGCGUAGAGAUCAGGAGGAACAUCAGUGGCGAAGGCGCCUCUCUGGACUAAUACUGACACUGAAAAGCGAAGGCGUGGGGAUCAAACAGG